UUGGCUAGCCUGAUCUCGAACUCCUGGACUCAAGCAAUUUGCCUGCCUCGGCCUCCCAGAGUGCUGGGAUUACAGGCGUGAGCCACUGCGCUUGGCUUCUGCUGUAUUCUUAGAGUGGGUAACAAUUGUUUACUCUCAUUGUUACUAAUUCUACUAGUAGUAGAGCUCUUUUCUCACUUUCUUUUAGUAGACAUCCUGUUUUGGAGAAUAUUAUUCUUAACAAAAAUUCUCAUUUUUCAAUUUCUCUUGAAGUAGAGAUGUAGUUAAGUUCCCCUAACCUCAAAACAUCUAUCCCUAUACCCCAAAGAUCUC
rnacentral:lncRNA from 10 species